UACGGGGGGGGCAAGCGUUGUUCGGAAUUACUGGGCGUAAAAGGGUUUGUAGGUGGCUUGUUAAGUCAGACGUGAAAUCCCUCAGCUUAACUGGGGAACUGCGUCUGAUACUGGCGAGCUUGAGUGCAGGAGAGGAACGCGGAAUUCCAGGUGUAGCGGUGAAAUGCGUAGAUAUCUGGAGGAACACCGGUGGCGAAGGCGGCGUUCUGGACUGGCAACUGACACUGAGGCACGAAAGCUGGGGGGAGCAAACAGG
rnacentral:rRNA from 1 species